rnacentral:rRNA from 1 species
UUGGAGGGCAAGUCUGGUGCCAGCAGCCGCGGUAAUUCCAGCUCCAAUAGCGUAUAUUAAAGUUGUUGCAGUUAAAAAGCUCGUAGUUGAAUUUCGGGAUUGACGUGAUGGUCAUGCCUUAAGGGGUAUGAACUGUUGCUGUUGAUUUCUCACCUUCUGGAGAAACCUGAUGUCCCUAAUUGGGUGUCUUGCGGAUCCAGGACCUUUACCUUGAAAAAAUUAGAGUGUUUAAAGCAGGCAUUUUUGCUCGAAUACAUUAGCAUGGAAUAAUAGAAUAGGACGGCAUGGUUCUAUUUUGUUGGUUUCUAGGAUCACCGUAAUGAUUAAUAGGGAUAGUUGUGGGCAUUAGUAUUCAAUUGUCAGAGGUGAAAUUCCUGGAUUUAUUGAAGACUAACUACUGCGAAAGCAUUUGCCAAGGAUGUUUUCAUUAAUCAAGAACGAAAGUUAGGGGAUCGAAGACGAUCAGAUACCGUCGUAGUCUUAACCAUAAACUAUGCCGACUAGGAAUCAGACGAUGUUAAUUUUUUAAUGACUCGUUUGGCACCUUACGGGAAACCAAAGUGUUUGGGUUC